UCUGCGUUUCAUUAGCCUAGUUAGUGGGGUAACGGCCUACCAAGGCAACGAUGGGUAGCCGAUCUGAGAGGAUGAUCGGCCACACUGCCAACUGAAACACGGUCCAGACUCCUACGGGAGGCAGCAGUGGGGAAUAUUGCGCAAUGGGCGAAAGCAUAACGCAGCGACGCCGCGUGAGGGAUGAAGGUCUUCGGAUCGUAAACCUCUGUCAGAAGGGAAGAAACUAGGGUGCUCUAAUCAUCACCCUACUGACGGUACCUUCAAAGGAAGCACAGGACUAACUCCGUGCCAGCAGACGCGCUAAUACGGAGAGUGCAAGCGUUAAUCGGAAAUCACUGCGCGUAAAGCGCACGUAAGCUGUUAUGUAAGUCAGGGGAGAAAUCCCACGGCUCAACCGUGAAACUGCCCUUGAUACUGCACGACUUGAAUCCGAGAGAGGGUGGCGGAAUUCCAGGUGUAGCGAAUGAAAUCUCGUAGAUAUCUGGAGGAACAUCAGUGGCGAAGGCGGCCACCUGGCACCGGUAUUGACGCUAAGGUGCGAAAGCUGUAGGGAGCAAACAGGAAUAAGAUACCAUGGUAGUCCACGCCGUAAACGAUAAAAGCU
rnacentral:rRNA from 1 species